GGAGCUACACAUGCAGUCGAGCGGUAGCACAGAAGAGCUUGCUCUUUGGGUGACGAGCGGCGGACGGGUGAGUAAUGUCUGGGAAACUGCCUGAUGGAGGGGGAUAACUACUGGAAACGGUAGCUAAACCGCAUAACCUCGCAAGAGCAAAGAGGGGGACCUUCGGGCCUCUCGCCAUCAGAUGUGCCCAGAUGGGAUUAGCUAGUAGGUGAGGUAAUGGCUCACCUAGGCGACGAUCCCUAGCUGGUCUGAGAGAUGACCAGCCACACUGGAACUGAGACACGGUCCAGACUCCUACGGGAGGCAGCAGUGGGGAAUAUUGCACAAUGGGCGCAAGCCUGAUGCAGCCAUGCCGCGUGUGUGAAGAAGGCCUUCGGGUUGAAAGCACUUUCAGCGGGGAGGAAGGCGGUGAGGUUAAUAACCUCAUCGAUUGACGUUACCGCAGAAGAAGCACCGGCUAAACUCCGUGCCAGCAGCCGCGGUAAUACGGAGGUGCAAGCGUUAAUCGAAUGACUGGGCGUAAAGCGCACGCAGGCGGUCUGUUAAGUUGGAUGUGAAAUCCCCGGGCUUAACCUGGGAACUGCAUUCAAAACUGACAGGCUAGAGUCUUGUAGAGGGGGGUAGAAUUCCCAGGUUAGCGGUGAAAUGCGUAGAGAUCUGGAGGAAUACCGGUGGCGAAGGCGGCCCCCUGGACAAAGACUGACGCUCAGGUGCGAAAGCGUGGGGAGCAAACAGGAUUAGAUACCCUGGUAGUCCACGCUGAAACGAUGUCGAUUUGGAGGUUGUGCCCUUGAGGCGUGGCUUCCGGAGCUAACGCGUUAAAUCGACCGCCUGGGGAGUACGGCCGCAAGGUUAAAACUCAAAUGAAUUGACGGGGGCCCGCACAAGCGUGGAGCAUGUGGUUUAAUUCGAUGCAACGCGAAGAACCUUACCUACUCUUGACAUCCAGAGAACUUAGCAGAGAUGCUUUGGUGCCUUCGGGAACUCUGAGACAGGUGCUGCAUGGCUGUCGUCAGUCGUGUUGUGAAAUGUUGGGUUAAGUCCCGCAACGAGCGCAACCCUUAUCCUUUGUUGCCAGCGAUUCGGUCGGGAACUCAAAGGAGACUGCCGGUGAUAAACCGGAGGAAGGUGGGGAUGACGUCAGUCAUCAUGGCCCUUACGAGUAGGGCUACACACGUGCUACAAUGGCGUAUACAAAGAGAAGCGACCUCGCGAGAGCAAGCGGACCUCAUAAAGUACGUCGUAGUCCGGAUUGGAGUCUGCAACUCGAUCCAUGAAGUCGGAAUCGCUAGUAAUCGUAGAUCAGAAUGCUACGGUGAAUACGUUCCCGGGCCUUGUACACACCGCCCGUCACACCAUGGGAGUGGGUUGCAAAAGAAGUAGGUAGCUUAACC
rnacentral:rRNA from 1 species